rnacentral:rRNA from 1 species
ACGGGGGGAGCGAGCGUUGUCCGGAAUCAUUGGGCGUAAAGGGCGCGUAGGCUGGAAGAUCAGUCAGAUGUGAAAUAUCCCGGCUUAACCGGGAAGCUGCAUUUGAAACUGUCUUUCUUGAGUGUCGUAGGGGAUGAUGGAAUUCCUGGUGUAGCGGUGAAAUGCGUAGAUAUCAGGAAGAACACCGGUGGCGAAGGCGGUCAUCUGGACGAAUACUGACGCUGAGGCGCGAAAGCGUGGGUAGCAAACAGG